GUGGUGUGAGUGAUCUUUUGACCUGUGGUGUCAUUAGCUAUUCAUAGCAAGGCUACUAAGUUUGACUGCACGUUCCCUGGGUCUCUAGCCAUUCGGAUUCUUACUGUGUAUGUUGGCUUCAGUAAAUUCAGAUUCGCUGUUUGGAGUAGGAUGCACCUAGAUGAAAUCUAUCAAUUUUGGUAGAAAAGAAGAAGUCUUAUAUGAUUUAUG
rnacentral:lncRNA from 1 species